rnacentral:tRNA from 1 species
GACCCCUUCGUCUAGCGGUUAGGACACAUCCCUUUCACGGAUGCGACACGAGUUCGAUUCUCGUAGGGGUCG